rnacentral:rRNA from 1 species
UGUUGGUUAGCGGCGGACGGGUGAGUAACACGUGGGCAACCUGCCUGUAAGACUGGGAUAACUUCGGGAAACCGGAGCUAAUACCGGAUAAUUCCUUCCCUCUCAUGAGGGAAGGCUGAAAGACGGCUUAAGCUGUCACUUACAGAUGGGCCCGCGGCGCAUUAGCUAGUUGGUGAGGUAACGGCUCACCAAGGCGACGAUGCGUAGCCGACCUGAGAGGGUGAUCGGCCACACUGGGACUGAGACACGGCCCAGACUCCUACGGGAGGCAGCAGUAGGGAAUCUUCCGCAAUGGACGAAAGUCUGACGGAGCAACGCCGCGUGAGCGAUGAAGGCCUUCGGGUCGUAAAGCUCUGUUGUUAGGGAAGAACAAGUACCGGAGUAACUGCCGGUACCUUGACGGUACCUAACCAGAAAGCCACGGCUAACUACGUGCCAGCAGCCGCGGUAAUACGUAGGUGGCAAGCGUUGUCCGGAAUUAUUGGGCGUAAAGCGCGCGCAGGCGGUCCUUUAAGUCUGAUGUGAAAGCCCACGGCUCAACCGUGGAGGGUCAUUGGAAACUGGGGGACUUGAGUGCAGAAGAGGAAAGCGGAAUUCCACGUGUAGCGGUGAAAUGCGUAGAGAUGUGGAGGAACACCAGUGGCGAAGGCGGCUUUCUGGUCUGUAACUGACGCUGAGGCGCGAAAGCGUGGGGAGCAAACAGGAUUAGAUACCCU